GACGAACGCUGGCGGUGUGCUUAACACAUGCAAGUGGUGCGACGAACCAGAGCUUGCUCUGGGGCAAAGCCGCGAACGGGUGAGUAACACGUGGGUAAUCUACCCCGAUGACCGGGACAACCCGAGGAAACUCGGGCUAAUACCGGAUGUGGUGCGGAGACAUAAGUCUCUUCACUAAAGGUAGCUUCGGCUUCCGCAUUGGGAGGGGCCCGCGGCCCAUUAGCUUGUUGGUGGGGUCAAGGCCUACCAAGGCAACGAUGGGUAGCUGGUCUGAGAGGACGAUCAGCCACACUGGGACUGAGACACGGCCCAGACUCCUACGGGAGGCAGCAGUGGGGAAUCUUGCGCAAUGCGCGAAAGCGUGACGCAGCAACACCGCGUGAGGGAAGAAGGCCUUAGGGUUGUAAACCUCUUUCAGAUGGGACGAAGGUUCUCCGGUGAAUAGCCGAGAGGAUUGACGGUACCGGCAGAAGAAGCGCCGGCUAACUACGUG
rnacentral:rRNA from 1 species